CAGAAGGACAGAGACAACACAGCGCGAGGCAGACUCUGAAGCAAAGAUAGUUCAGUCACAGAUAGAACUUGCAGGGAAGCCACCACUUGCCCUUUUUUGACUGAACUUCUAAAUUAGGACAGCUUUAUCGAGGAUAGCCUUUCUUUAAGGAGCAAUGGAGGUAGGGGACUUCUGACUUCUCUGUUCCCAUCGAUCAGUUUAUUCUAUGAAGCAUUAGGGAAAGAUGAAGCUGAAAUACAAAAGAACGAGUUUUACAGACCUUUGAUCCUGUUGAUGAUGGUUUCUUCAGCGUGUGGUCUGUGGUGCUACUCGUGCAUAGGAGUUGUUCCAAAGUCCUGCAGAAGAAUAAAACAUUGUGAUUCAAUUUCCAGCCUCUGUUACUCUAUCCAAGGACACGGUUAGCUGUUGAACAUAUAAGGAGUUCCAGACUCAAUGACUGUUUAUAAAAUCAAAAUUAAACCACUAUAAUACAGCUACUUAUUGUAUUUUUUCUAAUACUUUUCUAUCUUGGUUUACAGGUUUGAUUACCCAGGGCUGCUGGAACAGUGCAGCCUGCACGAGCCCUUUUUCCUGCUGUGAAGGAGACUUCUGUAACAGUGGAGUAGCAGCAGGUCCAACCAGUGUCGUCCUGCUGCUGGUGGCUUCAGCUCUCUUCACAAUUUUUAUCUAAGUAAAACUAAUGAAAUGGAAAAACUAAUUGUGGAAAGAUGUGAAAUAAAACGU